GACGAACGCUGGCGGCGUGCCUAAUACAUGCAAGUUGAGCGCUGAAGGUUGGUACUUGUCCCAACUGGAUGAGCAGCGAACGGGUGAGUAACGCGUGGGGAAUCUGCCUUUGAGCGGGGGACAACAUUUGGAAACGAAUGCUAAUACCGCAUAAAAACUUUAAACACAAGUUUUAAGUUUGAAAGAUGCAAUUGCAUCACUCAAAGAUGAUCCCGCGUUGUAUUAGCUAGUUGGUGAGGUAAAGGCUCACCAAGGCGAUGAUACAUAGCCGACCUGAGAGGGUGAUCGGCCACAUUGGGACUGAGACACGGCCCAAACGCCUACGGGAGGCAGCAGUAGGGAAUCGUCGGCAAUGGACGAAAGUCUGACCGAGCAACGCCGCGGGAGUGAAGAAGGGUGUCGGAUCGUAAAACUCUGUUGGUAGAGAAGAACGUUGGUGAGAGUGGAAAGCUCAUCAAGUGACGGUAACUACCCAGAAAGGGACGGCUAACUACGUG
rnacentral:rRNA from 1 species